AGUGUCCGUUAUUUUUGGCGGGCUUCGCCUCAGGGCUGACCCUCAGUCCAGUCCCUCAGGGCUGACCCUCACCCCUGUCCCUCAUCCUUGUCCCUCAGGGCUGACCCUCACCCCUGUCCCUCAGUCCAGUCCCUCAGGGCUGACCCUCAUCCCUGUCCCUCAGCCCAGUCCAUCAGGGCUGACCCUCACCCCUGUCCCUCAGUCCAGUCCCUCAGGGCUGACCCUCACCCCUGUCCCUCAUCCUUGUCCCUCAGGGCUGUCCCUCACCCUUGUCCCUCAUCCUUGUCCCUCAGGGCUGACCCUCACCCCUGUCCGUCGUCCUUGUCGCUCAUCCCAGUCCCUCAGGGCUGACCCUCAUUCCACACCCUCAGGUUCCCCCACCGGCGUCAGAGCCCUCAGCCCGCGGCCGGCGCUGCCGCCUCCGUGUGAGGCACUGCCGAGGGUCGCCCUGCUCUGCCUGAGCUUACUGUUUUUCUACAGCGUUUUCUCUGGUGUUUAGUUGCUUAUCUUCAGAAGAGGCCAGAAAACAACACUCUCUAAGCUCCUAUGCGGUGCAAAAACUCUCUAUAAACUGAAAUCAAAUUUGGAGUAAUCAAUACAUCGUUGCCUGUUAAGACUCAGCAAAGAAAUGAAAAGGAGUUUUGGUGACACCUCAACUCGCAGCACAGCAGGUUGUCUGCCUGUACCGCUGUUCAAUCAGAAAAAAAGAACUAGACAGCCCCUCACUUCAAAUCCAAUUAAAAAUGAGCCAGGUGCCGGUUCUGGGACUCGUACAUAUGACUUCUCUCCCACAUCAUUUGGCUGGGGAACUGCACACCCAGAAGUGGCUGAACUGCAGAAAGCAGCAAACAGUGGCCAAACAGAACAUCAGAUGGCUCCUUCCCUCAUGAAACCACCAAAUGCAUCAAAGUUUAAUUUAGCAAAUGCUGGAAAAAACUUGGCUGCCUGCAGGAACAGAAAUGGGUAUACUCUGAGUAACACAGCAGAUUCAAGGUCUGAGAGUGGAAUUACUCGAAAGUUUGGGAACCUUUCAAAUAAUUGGAAAACUGUCCAGCAGCAAAAACCCCCUGGUAGCCGUAAUUCAUCUCAGCUCCUCAAAACAGAAACCAGCCAGCCAAACACAGCUAAAGGACAAUGGCCAGUGAAACCUGACCCUGCAUCAAGAAGUCUGCAGGGUCAUAGUCCAGCAUAUAAAUUUAACUACAAUAUUCAGCAAAAUAAAAUGAAUGAAAACCAAAUUGAUUUUGUCCCAGAAGAAAAAAGUCAGGAAGUUCCAUCAUCUCAAAUAAAAAUUAGAGACAGAAGGAAUUCUUUGCGAAUCCUGUCUGCAGUCAUUGAAAGUCUGAGGCACUGGAGUCAAUAUUCUUACAAAACUGCACUGUUAUUUGAAGUCUUAGGCACACUGGAUUCUGCAGUCACACCUGGAGCUUAUGGGGCAAAGAACUUUCUCCUGAGAGAUGGAAAGGAGACCCUGCCUUGUGUGUUUUAUGAAAUUGCACAAGGUGAUGCUGCAGGAGCCAGUGAAGGGAAAAGUCCUUCCCAGCACAAGGAACAUCCCCAGCACAUCUCACACUCCCUGAUCCUCAACCAGCUGCACCUGCUGGAGGUGCCCAGGACAGGAGGGAGCCCACAGACCUGGACACUGAGUUCUUGGCAGCUGUGUUUCUGCAUCUAGGGUCUGACAUUACCCAAACAUGCAGAAGCUGAAGCUAAAUACAAAGAAGUAAGUUAUAUUAUGCAGAUCUCCUCUCACUACACACAUAUGACACCACUAAAAACAAUAUAAAAUGAAAAUAUAGUAAAAAUGGAGCUAAACUAGACACACAUCUCUUGCAACAGGACAAGGGGUAAGAGCUCUAAAUUAAAAGAGGGAAGAUAUAAGGAGGAGAUAUAAAGAAUACACUUUCCAUGAUGACUGUGGUAAAACACCAGCAUGGAUUGCCCAGAGUGGUGGGUGCCCCAUCCCCAGAAGCAUCCAAGGUCAGGUUGAACUGGGCUCAGAGCAACCUGAUCUAGUUGAAGACACCCCUGCUCCCUGCAGGGGGUUGGACUAAAUGACUUUUGAAGGUCCCUUCCAACCCAAACUGUUCUGUGAUUCUGUCACCUUGUUUAGCAAAGGUCACUGAGCUUUCCCAAAAGAAGAAAUAGAGCUAAGGGCCAGCACAGCCUGAAAGUCAUGUGACACUCCUGCAUGCCCAGGAACACAGAGCACCACCUCUGGAGGCAGAAACAUGGGAAACAACCCUGGAGAACAACCAGGAAAAAGGGAGACUUUUGCUACUGCUGUUGUAAACUGUGAGAGUGUUAAACCACUGAGCUGAUGAACAAACUAAACCGUGCUAACCCAUGGACCUGUGCAUUGUAGAGUCACUCCUGGGAUGGUGCAGCUGGGAAGUGAGGCAAUGGGAUGCCUGAGAGACUGUGGUGUCCAGUGGGUGCACAGCACGGCCCCACUGCCACCCAGCCUGCUUGACUGCAUGAGGAAUCUGGAAACAGCCCCGGGGUGCAAAACCUUCUGUAAAAUGUUGGCAAAGUGAGCCAGUUUUAAGAGAAACAGCCACUGCUCUAAGCAACAAUCAGGUCUAAAACUAAAACUUCAGUUUGUUCAUUUUUUCAAAGCCGAAAUAGUCCUUGCAUUUCAUUUGGUGGAAAAAAAAGUGAUGCAGAAUUGGAAACAAUCUUUUUUUGUCAUAAAAUCCUUUGCUUACUGUUAAACUUCACUGUUUUUCUGACACUGUCUCAACCCCUUGCUCUGCUUCACGUAUCUGUCCAUACAUGUUUUCUUUUUGAUUGGGUUACACAGAAUUAUUUUGAAGGUUGUGCUUGACAGUGACACCAGUGUUUUGAUUACCACUUGGUGCUGAUGUUGCAUGGUGUGAUUUGAUGGAAGAAGCUUUAUUUUUUCGAAGGCUACAAAUAAUCUGUCACAGCUGAAUGUACGUGUUCACGUAUCAAACGGGCUAAAAAGUUACCCAUGGUUUCAUAUCCUCAGGCAUGUCAUAGAAUGACCUCAUUAUUCUCAUUUAGGUGCCCUCUUUCUUACAAAGACUCCAAAUAUUGAAUAGCCCGUUAUUAUCUGCAGAAGCCAAGCUUUCAGGCAUGGUGCUAAUGACUCCUUAAUGGGGCUGUCUGUCAGCAGCACAGUGAGCUGGGAGAGCACACAAAGAAACAGUGGGGCUCCAUUUAGGCUCCUCGUAGAACACUUACGCCUCUGCACGGCUUUCCAACAACAAACAGCACUUUGAGAGGUGUCAGAAUACAGCAGUGAGUGCAUUUCACCCUUCUGUGCGGUGUAAUCCUGCUGUCGAACAAGGUGAUAAGGGCAGACAACAUAUUGGGGUCUGUUCUACAGCACGAAGCCAAUUGAGUGUGAGGGGACUUGCUGGUAAAACGGGGAGUUGAGUUCUUUUUUUAACGUGGUUUGACUGAUCAUUUGAUUCAUCUCCCAUCAGGUACUGGGUCCUGUUAAAAACAUGCUUUUCUUUGUUUGUUUUUUUAUCUGACACACAGUGUUUGUUAUUGCUGGGUCUGCAUCACCUGAGUUCUCACACGUGGUGUUUGUUGUUGCUGAGUCCUCAUCACCUGAGUCCUCCCCAGUAACUCCCAGUAACUCCCAGCCUCUGCUGACUGCAGGGCAGCCCAAAGGCAAGUCCAGCACAGUGGGUCAACAGAAGUUCUUGUGGCUGUCAGAGCCACGUGCCAGGACUCUCAUUUGGGGUUGUGUCCAGUUCCUACUCCCUCGGCAACACGUGAAAUACCACCUCCCACAGGAGAGUGCAGAGCCAGACGCAGCAGGAAUGUGUCCCCCCGCCACAGGCAAAGGUGAUGUUUCCACCUCUGCCAACGGGAUGGCACUGGCAGCGAGCUGGUCCCUGUACCAUCAGGGGCACGUGCCAGCCCAGCCAGGGGCACAGUGUGGCCAGGGAUGGUGAGAGGACCCGUGACCCUCCUUCUCCAGCCCCCAGCUCGUGGCAGCAAUCAAAGAGCGUGAGGGCACCUUGGCCCCAGCACUGCGGCAGCCACGUCAACUCCUGUCAUUUCACAGCAAAUUCCAUGGAAUGUUUCUGGCUUUGGUUUUCCUUAAUUGUGGUAGCACAAAUCCCCUAAAAACUCACAGCUCCUGCUGGAAACAGCCGAUGAGCCGCUUGGGCUGCUAAUCCCCACGGAGAGGUGUGAAGAUGUUUUUCAGGACAAAGUGACAUGAAAAAGGGUACAAACAGGAUGGGUGCAGGUGAGUGUUACACUGACUGAAGAGCUGGGUCUGGUCUGGGACCUGCCAUGAGGGUUUGGAAACAAGAGUGUGGAGUCCCAGGGUCACAGCACCCUGAUGUGCACAGUGGUGGCCAAAGAACCAUCAAAUCCAACCAGGCACUGGCAAAGGGAACUAAGGUCUUGUGAAUAAAUGUGAGAAAAUUCAUGUGGGAGUAGGUAAAUGGUGAGGGUUGGUUUCUGCCAUGUGGGCCAGGAAUGCUGGAACACCAAAUGGCCAUAGGGCAGCUCUAGGGGCAGAAGGGGCAAUGCCACUGAGCAGGUUUAGGUGGGGCACAAGGGAUGGCAGGGGAACAGCUGUCCCAGCAUAGGGGACAAUGGAAAAGGCACAGCACAGGGCAGAUGGCAAGACUGGAUAUGCUCCCAAAACACUGGAUAUGCUCUUGGAAACCAGAAAUUUUUCCUUUUGUCACAACCUUUCCAGGGCUUCAGCUGGGAACUAUUCCAAGUGCUCCUGCCCUGUCCUGGAGUCACACCUGCAGGUCAAACAGCCACUUUUGAAGGAAAAUAACAAGGCUUAAGUUUGAAGAAGUCCAUGGAGCAAAGGAUUUGGUUGAUGGGGACCUGCCCACACCACAGCACACACAGGGGGUACCUCUUCCCAGCCCAGAUUUAGCUGCUUGUGCACAAAAUUCAGCACCACCUGUACCAGGACACAGCUCAGCCAGUUCCAGCCUUCCAGGAAACUUUCCUGCUUUCCAGCUAAUCAGGUAUUCACUAAAACACCAGAGGGGUUAAUGCCCAAACUGAUUCAAGGGGGUGGGAAGGAAGGCAUUUUUUUAAUUAGGGAGAAAAUAAGAGGCAGAUAAUAUGUCUGAUGAAUUAAGGCUGUCUCUCUUUCAGUGCCAUUGCAUCUGGGGAUGCUGGAAAGCAGUUCCUAAUGGCACUGCUUUAUCUAAGAGGAUGAUGGAUAGUGGUGAAAGAGAGAAAAAAGGGAAAAAGUAAGACAUUAGCACAUCAAUGGUGUGCCUGUGACCUCCAUCAAGGGAUGUGAACCAACUUAAUGAAAUUUUAAUUAGGCAGCAAGCAGUGCUCUGUCGCUGGGUACCAGAUCAGCCCUUCUUACCCAAGCUCUGUUAUUAUCCUGCCUUGGGAUAAGCCCUUUCCUGGCACUGGCAGCAAAGCUGGGCUCAUCGCCUUGGCCAGGGAAUGCCCCGCAGGUCACACCACUCUCCCAUCUGGCUUUUCCUCACAAAGCCAGUGGAGAGGAGCCUGAAGGGAGUGGGACUUGAAGCCUCAAGAGGAUGGAGGGAAUGUCCCACUGCCAAAAUGUCCCUUGCCGUGUCCCUGCCACCCUGUGCCAGACUCCGCUCUGGGCCCUGCAAAGGGGAAAUGCAACGUUCACCCCAAAAUGUCUCUGAUGCACCAGGACAAUGCCCUUCCCAAGGCCCGGGGUUCAACAUUGGCUCUUCACCGAGCAGGUGUGUGGGCAGGUGACCCAGUGUGAACUGACCAUCACUGUCACGAGUGGCCACAUCUCAGCUGAGCCCCAGUCCCUGCCCAGCCCCUGCAGCCCAAGCAGCGGCCCCAGGGCUGGCACCCACCUCUCCCUGCUUUUGUUUAAGUAAAGCAGCUUCCAUCUCCCUUUGAGAGCAGUGGAUAGAAUUAACCCUGAGAGCAGCCUGUCUGCAUUUCCAAUUAAUCUGACUUCCCCUGGCCCACCCAUAAGCUGGUCCUGUCUCAGCACCCCUUUCAGCCCAGCUUAGCAGUGAGCAGGUCACUGAUCAGUGAGUCCUGGUAGUGGUUUGUGGCUUGGGUACUGAAACGUGGGGCCACAGCCCAGGAAUUACAGGUUUCCCCAACACUGGGUGUUUUCUGUUCUGUUAAUGUAGGUCAAAAAACUCUGGGUGGCUGAUGAAAGGAGAUAAAGUUUACUGCGAGGCAAAUGUGCAUGAAGGGAAAGAUGGUGAUUUCAAGAAUUCCUUACACUUAGGACUUAACAACUCUUGCCAAUGCUGUAGCCUGCGCUAGAAGAGGAGUGACAGAUUUUCCAAAUAUCUUCCCAUCUCCAUGAGCAAUCUCCUGAUUCACUGGGAUCAGGGCUGCUGUGUAACUACUCUGCAAACCUGACCUGAGCAGGCAAACCUCAGAUGACAUCGGGGACCCAGGGCUGGACUGACACGGCGAGAAACCAGCAAUGAAGGUUUGUGAAACCCUUCAGCAUUUCCCAGUGAAAGGGACUGAACGGCUCCCCCAUCCCUUCAACAAAUCGGCACAUUUGAGCAGGGAAACCGCUGGAAACGUGCACGUUUCAGGAAACAAAAAGAACAACGUUCCCCAGGGAUGGACACCCCGGCUGUGGGCUGUGCCCACCCCGUGUGCUGCAGGACCGUGAUGGGAUUUAAGCAAUCACAGGCAGACCCGGUGUCCUGGGAGAGAUAACAGCGCAGCUCCACGGCAGGCUGAGCACCCCAGCUGCUGACACCCUUUGUGCCGGGCACAGCCACGACCUCUCGGGGAUGCUGCCCUGUAUUGUGAUCUGGAGGAAGUCCAAGCUUGUGUAUUCUGAGCAGCAGCAGUGAAGUCGCACUGACGACCUCGGGAUCUGACGGGGUUUUCUCGACCUCCAGAAGCUCAGCUGUCCCCCCGAGCGGACCCACGUCCAUCAGCCGCAAGCCAAAAGAGCCAAAUCCUUUCUUAAUAUAGCAAAAAAUAUCUUUAUCCCGCCCGAACGUCCUCAGCCGUGUUUGAGGCACUUAACUGCCGACACCGCUGAAACAGUUAAAGUAUUUAGGACACCGUAGAAUGGCCAAAAACUUGGGAAAAACAAGGCGGAUUGGAGAAAGGUCAUCCGAGGCUGGGACUGGGAGAAUUCUCUUCUUUGAAAUCCCCAGCAGAGUUGAGAAGCCGGUACCAACCCUCCUGUUCCCAUGGACUGAGGUCAGCCACAUCCAAAUUCGCUGGGAAUUCUGUAUGUGCAUGCAGACACUUGUUUUCCCAUUUAAAAAAAAAAAUAAAAAGGAGAAAAAUAUAAGUCUGUAAUUGAAGCUGCUGAGACUGCAGUUUCAGAGCAGCCCUGCUGUGAUGUAUCAGUUCCUUCUUCUUCAUUUUCCAGCUUCCCCAGCAUCCUGUUGUGCACAAAUAUAUGUCUGUGCUGCAUCUUU